GCCCCCGUAGCUCAGUUGGAUAGAGCAGCGGUUUCCUAAACCGAAGGUCACCUGUUCAAUUCAGGUCGGGGGCACCA
rnacentral:tRNA from 1 species